UGAAACCAGGUCUCACUCUGUCACCCAGGCUGGAGCACAGUGGCGUGACCUCAGCGGACUGCAACCUCAGCCUCCCAUGCUCAAGUGAUCCUCCCACCUCAGCUUUAGAUGGGGACUUGCCAUGUUGCCCAGGCUGGUCUCAAACUCCCGAGCUCAAGUGAUCCAGCCCCCUAGACUUCCCAAAGUGUUGGGAUUACAGGCAUGAGCCACCGCGCCCAGCCAAGAAUGCACUCUCUUCAGCCAAUUACUCUGAGGCUACCGAUUCUACAGUGGGUUCCAAAUGAAAGAAGAGAAAGUCAUAGCAGAUGGCGUCUCGCUCUGUUGCCCAGGCUGGAGUGCAAUGGUGUGAUCUUGGCUCACUGCAACCUCCACCUCCCCAGUUCAACCAAUUCUCCUGCCUCAGAUUCCUGAGUAGCUGCGACUACAGGCAUGUGCCACCAUGCCCAGAUAAUUUUUGUAUUUUUAGUAGAGACGGGGUUUCUUUUUUGGGGUGGGGGGACAGAGUCUUGCUCUGUCGCCAGGCUGGAGUGCAGUGGUGCAAUCUCGGCUCACUGCAACCUCCGCCUCCCAGGUUCAAGCGAUUCUCCUGCCUCAGCCUCCCAAGUAGCUGGGACUACAGGUGCGCACAACCACGCCCAGCUAAUUUUUCUAUUUUUAGUAGAGUUGGGGUUUCACCAUGUUGGCCAGGAUGGUCUCGAUCUCCUGACCUCGUGAUCCACUCGCCUCGGC